rnacentral:rRNA from 1 species
UACCGCCCUAGUUCUGACCGUAAACUAUGCCAUCUAGCGAUCCGAUGGGGUAUUGUUGCCUUGUCGAGGAGCUUCCCGGAAACGAAAGUCUUUCGGUUCCUGGGGUAGUAUGGUUGCAAAGCUGAAACUUAAAGAAAUUGACGGAAUGGCACCACCAGGAGUGGAGCCUGCGGCUUAAUUUGACUCAACACGGGAAAACUCACCCGGCCCGGACACCGUAAGGAUUGACAGAUUGAAAGCUCUUUCUCGAUUUGGUGGUUGGUGGUGCAUGGCCGUUCUUAGUUGGUGGAGCGAUUUGUCUGGUUUAUUCCGAUAACGAGCGAGACUCUAGCCUGCUAAAUAGUGGCUGGAUUUUCACGUCCAGUCUACUUCUUAGAGGGAUAAGCGGUGUUUAGCCGCACGAGAUUGAGCGAUAACAGGUCUGUGAUGCCCUUAGAUGUCCGGGGCUGCACGCGCGCUACAAUGGAAGAAUCAGCUGGCCUAUCCAUUGCCGAAAGGCAUUGGUAAACCGUUGAAACUCUUCCGUGACCGGGAUAGGGAAUUGUAAUUAUUUCCCUUGAACGAGGAAUUCCUAGUAAGUGUGAGUCAUCAGCUCACGCUGAUUACGUCCCU